AUUGAACGCUGGCGGAAUGCUUUACACAUGCAAGUCGAACGGUAGAGGGGGCAACCCCUCGAGAGUGGCGAACGGGUGAGUAACAUAUCGGAACGUGCCCAGUCGUGGGGGAUAACGUAGCGAAAGUUACGCCGAUACCGCAUACGAUCUAAGGAUGAAAGCGGGGGAUCGCAAGACCUCGCGCGAUUGGAGCGGCCGAUAUCAGAUUAGGUAGUUGGUGGUGUAAAGGCUCACCCAGCCAACGAUCUGUAGCUGGUCUGAGAGGACGACCAGCCACACUGGAACUGAGACACGGUCCAGACUCCUACGGGAGGCAGCAGUGGGGAAUUUUGGACAAUGGACGCAAGUCUGAUCCAGCCAUUCCGCGUGCAGGAUGAAGGCCCUCGGGUUGUAAACUGCUUUUGUACGGAACGAAAAGGUCUCUCUUAAUACGGGGGACUCAUGACGGUACCGUAAGAAUAAGCACCGGCUAACUACGUGCCAGCCGCCGCCGUAA
rnacentral:rRNA from 1 species